rnacentral:rRNA from 1 species
CGUAACACAUGCGCGAGUCGAAGGGUGCUACUAAACCCGGAGGCGAAGCGAAAGCGUAAGGGACGAUGGCCUGUGUCGUGCUCUCCCGGCGACGGGAUCCGGCCGGCCCGCAGUCCCGGGGCACCUCAUCGCUCCGUCCGGGCCUCGCGCCCGGCUGAGUCGAGGCGCACCUGUGAGCGUAUGUGUUGUUACCCGAAAGAUGGUGAACUAUGCCUGGCCAGGACGAAGCCAGGGGAAACCCUGGUGGAAGUCCGUAGCGAUUCUGACGUGCAAAUCGAUCGUCGGAGCUGGGUAUAGGGGCGAAAGACUAAUCGAACCAUC